CCCUUAGAUGUUCGGGGCCGCACGCGCGCUACACUGAAGGAAUCAGCACGUCUUUCUCCUUGUCCGAAAGGACUGGGUAACCCGCUGAACCUCCUUCGUGCUAGGGAUUGGGGCUUGUAAUUCUUCCCCAUGAACGAGGAAUUCCCAGUAAGCGCGAGUCAUAAGCUCGCGUUGAUUACGUCCCUGCCCUUUGUACACACCGCCCGUCGCUACUACCGAUUGGAUGGUUUAGUAAGAUCCUCGGAUUGGUCCCGGAGCGGCCUCUGGUCGUGCCGGAGUGCCGAAAAGAAUGUCGAACUUGAUCAUCUAGAGGAAGUAAAAGUCGUAACA
rnacentral:rRNA from 1 species